rnacentral:rRNA from 1 species
AACGAGACCUUAACCUGCUAAAUAGCCCGUAUUGCUUUGGCAGUACGCUGGCUUCUUAGAGGGACUAUCCGCUCAAGCGGAUGGAAGUUUGAGGCAAUAACAGGUCUGUGAUGCCCUUAGAUGUUCUGGGCCGCACGCGCGUUACACUGACGGAGCCAGCGAGUACUUCCUUGACAGAGAUGUCCGGGUAAUCUUGUGAAACUCU